CCUCCGAGGGACAGGCUCUGCCCUAGUGCCUCGGUGACACCAGAAAUGUAUCACACGAGGCUGGAAUACAACUCCAGCGACAGAAUGUCAGUCAGCAAGUUCAAGGCUUUAGGCUCGGUCCACAGUACUAGGGGUGAGGGAAAUAAGGCCUGAGGCAGAUGGUGAGAAAGCUGCGCUGGCAGCCAGAAGGGAGCGGAGCCAGCUGGAGCCACGAGUCAGGGCAGACUCUCGAAGCUCAGUUUCCUUGGGUCUCUGCAUCUAGCCCUGAGGUCGACGCCCUGAACUUCUGGGACCCCAGGAAUGUGGGAUUCAAAGAGGCCAGUUCUGCUGGAGACAGUUCCACACCAAGGAUGCUUACAGGGUGACUUUCCCAAGGACACAGUCCCUAUCUUCUAGGUGCCUGGACUCCACACAUGCCAAGUGCUCCUGAAAUGAAGUUCUAGAACCCACAGCUACUGGGCCGGACUCUAGUGGGAAAGCAAUGCCUGCGAGUUUGCUUGGACUGGCCUUGAACUCACUAU
rnacentral:lncRNA from 1 species